CCAAAAAAAGAAAAAAAAAAGUAAAAGGAGAUCAAAGAUUGGUUUUGCAGAGUCUUUUGAUAUUUCACUUGCAAAGGAAAAGGUACUAAAGAAGGGAAAGUUGGGGUUGGGAUCCAUCUUUUUCUUCCUUGGGUGGUGGGAUGGAGGCAGCUAUUCUGCAUUUUAUUGUGGUUGAUAUGGAGCAGUUCAUCUGUGAUGGACGGGGACUGAUGCUAGAAGAUGUUGUUAGCAGCCACCUAGUCAAGGUUGAUGCUGGAGGAGGCAGAUGCCCUGUGCCAUGCAGCAGCCCUUGAGAACUGGGUGCAUGUGCAAUCCAUUUUCAAGCUGGGAUUGCUUGAACAAGAUUGCUUGGAUCUGCAAGAACAUUUUGUCCAGUCCCUACACAACGCAGGGCUACAAGCAGGCAUGUCACGUGGUGCGCUAGAGAGAUCAUUAUCAAG